rnacentral:lncRNA from 1 species
CAUCUGUUUUAUUCAGUUUCUUCAGUGUGUCCAGCAGUUUCUGUGGGGUGAGGAUGUGCGUGGAUCCUGGAGGAGGCAGAGAAGACAGUGAGCUUGCCAGUUCUGGUUUCUAACACUUCCUUUCCUGCGCUUCUUGAUUCCCAGAUCUGCACCCACCCCCCUCCCCCACCCUGGUCUGGGUCUAGUGGAAGCCAGGAGGGGAGUCAGGAUUGGGGUUAGGGUCCCGUCGCAAUAGGCCUGGGAGAUAUUUGGGGGCUGUGGAUAAACAAAACACAUCCUCUGGCUCAGGCAGGGUCCCAGGCUGCACCAAGGAACGAACCGCCUCACCAACAGGGUGCAGAGCCAUCUGCAGGUGAUGGGCAGCUGCGUUUCUAAUUCACUCUUAAACUCCAGGUGAAGCCAGGGAGAGAAAUUCCAAACAUGGCAAGGGGGGAAAGGUUGAAAAUGGGGUCAGAGUUGGUAGGGGGACCAUGUGUGGAAAGCAUGGUGCCUGAUAGAGGAAGUUGAUAGGCAAAGCCCCCUGGGAGAAUCCACUGACCUCUGGGAGCCAGCCAGUUGGUACUGCCCUGGUGGGUGGGACCUCAGGUGUGAGAGGGAAAGGGCCAGGGGACCUGAGGUCUUACCUUGCAGAGACCGCGUAUUGUAAGAGAUUAGAAAUGCUUGCAAAAAUUUAAGCUAAUGGAAUUAGAUAUACUUCUACUGCAAAAAUAAAAAUAAAAAUAAAUGAAAGUCUUUGUCAUAA